GAUGAACGCUGGCGGCGUGCCUAAUACAUGCAAGUCGAGCGAACGGACGAGAAGCUUGCUUCUCUGAUGUUAGCGGCGGACGGGUGAGUAACACGUGGAUAACCUACCUAUAAGACUGGGAUAACUUCGGGAAAGCGUAGCUAAUACCGGAUAAUAUUUUGAACCGCACGGUUCAAAAGUGAAAGACGGUCUUGCUGUCACUUAUAGAUGGAUCCGCGCUGCAUUAGCUAGUUGGUAAGGUAACGGCUUACCAAGGCAACGAUGCAUAGCCGACCUGAGAGGGUGAUCGGCCACACUGGAACUGAGACACGGUCCAGACUCCUACGGGAGGCAGCAGUAGGGAAUCUUCCGCAAUGGGCGAAAGCCUGACGGAGCAACGCCGCGUGAGUGAUGAAGGUCUUCGGAUCGUAAAACUCUGUUAUUAGGGAAGAACAUAUGUGUAAGUAACUGUGCACAUCUUGACGGUACCUAAUCAGAAAGCCACGGCUAACUACGUG
rnacentral:rRNA from 1 species